UCCUGAGUAGCUCAAUUGGCAGAGCAUCCGGCUGUUAACCGGAGGGUUGUAGGUUCAAGUCCUACCUCAGGAGCCA
rnacentral:tRNA from 2 species